GGCCUGAUAGUUCAGUGGUAGAAUUCUUGCUUUGGGUGUGAGAGUCCCGUGACUCUCAAUCGGCACAAUUGUAAGAGGUCUCCGGUUCGAUCCCGGAUUAGGCCC